rnacentral:rRNA from 1 species
CGUGUAGGCGGCUGGGGAAGUCUGGUGUGAAAACGCUGCCGCUCAACGGAGCGAAGCCGCUGGAAACUCCCCAACUUGAGAGACGUAGAGGUGAGCAGAAUACCUGGUGUAGCGGUGGAAUGCUUAGAGAUCAGGUAGAAUACCCGAGGCGAAGGCGGCUCACUGGACGUUUUCUGACGCUAAGGCGCGAAAGCGUGGGAUCAAACG